rnacentral:tRNA from 1 species
UAGAGGACUUCACGAGGCUUGCUUCGUAUCGGCCUCUUUUUAGAACAAAAGAAGCCAGUCAGGCUUCGACAUGCGGAACUUCGCCGUCUUCGUUUCUCUUUCUCUUUCCGGGCGAAUGCGCUGGAUCUGAUGAGCAUACGGCUUGUCUCCAUCGCAUUCUGGGCCAAGCCAGGCUUUGGCCGGCCGAUCUAUGAUCGGUCUUGCCUUGGGCCUGUAGCUCAGUUGGUUAGAGCGCGCGCUUGAUAAGCGUGAGGUCGGAGGUUCAAAUCCUCCCAGGCCCACCAGUCAUCGAACGUGUCUGAACCUUCGAUAGCGUCCGUUUGUCUCCCGGGGCCAUAGCUCAGUUGGGAGAGCGGUAGCUUUGCAAGCUUCAGGUCGUCGGUUCGAUCCCGUCUGGCUCCACCAAAUCCGGAAAGUAUUCAAGUUCGUAUCAUCGGAAACGAUGGUUACGCUGCUGUUUGUCAUUGUGAAGAGGGAAUGUAUUCGAGAGCUGCUCAUCCUGCAGCAUGCGGAAUGUCCGACACCAUCGGCUUUCGUUAAAUCGGGUACAUUCGGCAAGCAUAAUGGUCUUUCUGAUCAUAUGUUCAGCGAGUUG